CAGACUGGGUGGUUUUGCCUGUGUUUCCCCUUCAGGUUAAUAUUUUAUGGAUGUGCAAUACAGUUCAGAUGACAGUGCGAGAUGACUGAGAGUCGGCGUGCAGGCGUCAAGAGUUCAGCGAUUUAUUAGAAGGGAGGGAAUGUGGCACGGAGGAGAGUGAGGCUGAAUCUGAGAAAUGUGUUAGUAGCUGUUAAUGUGAGGAGUCUCAAAAUGACUAAAGUUUGUGCUUGUACGUGUAUGCACGCACAUGCGUGAGAUGAGUGAGUGCUAUCUGCAACCCGAGACCAUGAAAAAGAAGAGGCACCAGCAGUACAGAUGUAUCUUUCUCGGAGCCCAACAUGAAACACAGGAAACGGCCUCUUUGAUCAUUACCUACCUGUCAGUCUGCCCUCCACAGGGACCGCCUGUUACGACUGCUGAUGUGCUGCACUGGCAGGCCAGAAACACACAUGCAAACUCAAACAGAUCGAGAGCGAAAAAAGCAGCACCGCUAUGAGUCUGACUGGUGUCGACAUUCAAAGUUGUCCCCGAGGAGGUAUAACCAUGACGACCAACAGUGUGGGCAAAGCGCAGGUUUAUUAUUCUAUAUUUGGAUUCCAAUUAGCCUCAGUGACUGCGAGGCUUGCUGGGGUCCACAUUCGUAUUCAUACCAAUGGGCAAUUUGGUUUCCACUCCCUGUGAUUGUAUGUUUGUUGAAUGUGGGAAGAAACAAGCAGAAACCCACGUGAUCAAAGGGAGAACAUGGUGAGUCAAAGGCAAGCAAGCUUUUCCAAGUUAAUGUGUUUGACUUACUGCAUCUACAGUACAACAUUUGGAUAGGGUCAGCAUUGGAAUGUGAAUGCCAGUCUGUCCUUCUGUGAGAAACUUAACCACUCUACCACCCAGUAUUUUUUCAUGAAAAAAAAAAAAAAUUUGAAAUAUUUGUUGUUGAUUGCAUUUUCUCUCCUUUCCUACACAGCUUGCAUGACCAGCAUUGCUUGCUAUACUGGACCUUGUUGUAUUUCUGCUUAGAAAUCUUGCCACAUUUCCAGAUCGCAGCAAGUUCGAAAAUUUGUGUUGUAACUGUGAGGACUAAUGUCCAAAAAUAGUAAAAAAUAAUAAAAUAAUAAUAAAUAAGUAAGAAGAAUUGAAAUUUUCUUUAAACACUUUUUAAACAGCUUUAAAGGAUCAGUUCAACCAAAUUACAAAAACAUAUUUCCUCAGUUUACUCCAGUGGUAGUCAUACGGUAUUGGUUUGGUAUUGGUAUUGCAGUCCUCACAGCACUGAAAAUAUCAACCCUGUCACCAGACAAAGAAGUCAAUAUUGGACUAAUCUGCAAAACCCCAAAUUAUGUCCAAUACCAACAUAUUUUUAAACUCUCACUUUCUACAAUACUUAGUAUUGUAAGGUAUGGUUAAGAUUAAAAGAUCUUGGUUACGGCAAAUAAACUAUGGCUAAGGUGUGGUUAGGGUUAGGCAACUACAACACAUGGCUGAGGUCAGAGAAAGAUAAUCUGUGACAGGAUCCAAACUCUGGUCUCCUGCAUGAGUCUAAUGUCUAAUGCACUACACGUCUCUCCAAUACCCCACUCACAACACUACAAUCCGCCUCACUACAAAGGGCAUCCUCCUUCCUGCACUGACACUGAAUGUUGGCACUGAACGUAAAUUGUGAGCUGUGGAUUCGUCCAAUAUGGAGAUACUGGACUGGAAAAUUUACAUUAAAAAAUCUCUUUCCAGAAAUAUUAUCCUGCUUACUCUGGAUAAUCCAGAAAACACACUGUCAACAGUUUUCUUUGGACUGUUUCUUCUGUAUGAUUAGUUCUAAUGAAAACUGUUCAAAUUGUUGAAAAUUGAAAACAAUUUUAAUAAUAUUUCAUUGCUGUGAGCACCGCAAACAAAAUAUCAUUCACUUCCAUUGUAUUGGGGUGGAAGCAGAAAUCUCAAAGUCAGACAUCUCAAAACCUGGACAAGUGAUACUAAAACUAACUAAAUGGCUAUAAACCACUAGGGAUAAAUGAGAAAAAUACUUUUUUGUAAUUUGGGUGACCUGACCCUUUAAGGCUACUGCUGCAAAGACGAGUAUCAGCAGGACAACUGGCUUCAGCCUACACCCUGUGCAGACACCCGCUGGCUUUGCCAAAAACUAACUUUGCUAACCAACUCCUAAUGCGAGACAGUCUAAAAGUGUCCUAUAUUGUAUUUGUAAUGUCUGUGGUUUCUUUGUAUCUGUGGGUUAACAACUGUUGGUCACCAUUUUCAAAAGGAAUCCUUUAGAGGCUCAGUUUGCUAAAGCUUGUUAGGGGAAUAUGUGCACCUUUAUGAUCAAUCAAACAGUUUCUAAAUCCUCAUUCUCUUCUGCUGCCGUUGUCGCUUUUUCACCACGGUCCCUGUUGCUCUGGUUCUCUGAUUUUUCUGUCACCGCUGUUUCCAGCUUCCAUAGGUUAAAGUUACCUCUUUAAUCUUCAUGUGCCCCCACUGGCACAGAGUGUAAACAAAUGAACAAUAUAAUGCAGCAGCAAGUAUACACACAUUUAUAUGCAGAACCGUGUUUGGUUGUGUUUCUAUUUCAGGCGAGUUCGACUUCUUUGUUAGUGUACCAACCACAUGACUUAGGGUGGUCACAUUUGGUUGCAGCAAUUUACACAGUUUAAAUUGUAAUGGCUUUUCCACAUCUUCCUCAGAAACAACUAACUACUUUGGGGAUACACUGCGCGACCACAGCUCUGACACCAUUAGCAUAUAUUGUUCUGUCAAUUUAAAGAUCAGAGCGUCAGAUCUUGCAGCACAACAUCAAAGACCCCUCAGCAAUCAAGCAAACCAGAGUCCACCAGACUGACAGACUCACACGUAUUCACAGGUGCUUAUUGCAUCUGUGCGGCUAUACAGCACACCGCGUCUGUACCUUCAAGUCUGCAAACACACUAAUAUGAUCACAUCACUUAACGUUCCCUUAUCUCUGCCUGCACUUCUCACCUCAGAUAAAGAAAAUGUAUAUCUAUCAGUGAUUCAGCUGCCUGUGUACAUUUAAAACAGAAUGUAACACACACAAUAUAAAUUCAAAGACAUUAUGCUAAAUAAAUAAUGCAGUUGCACAGUAGUGGAGGAUGUAUUCAGAUAGUUGUUUAAGGAAAAAUAGAAAUACCACAAUGGUAAAAUAACAAAUAAGCAAUAGUCACGUAAAAGUAAAAGUAUGUAUUAUCAGCAAAAUGUAUGUAUGUAUCAACGGUAUCAAAAAUAAAACCCCUCAUUAUGCAGAGUGGUCCCUGUUAGUGUUAUAUUAUUUACUUUAUGUUAUUGGAUUUUUAUUAUUAAUUGAUGGAUGGGUAAACAGCAUUUUAGUGUCAUAGUUGGUUGAGGUGAAACAAUGUUUUUUAAUUUAAUUUACUGUAGAACAAUACAUCAUAUUUUAUAUGCUUAUUGUAGGUUUUUAAAAUCUUAAUCUGCAAGGUAACUAACCUAUAACUGUCAGAGUAAAAAGUACAAAAUUACAUUAUCACCUAUGUGAAAUUUUGUAGAAGUAUUAAGUACAAGUACCUGCAGAACUGUACUUAAGUACUGUACAGUAGUUUGGUAACUGUACUUAGUUACUUCCCACCACUGCUUGUGCCACAUUUUAACGUGUCUAAUUGUGGGCUAGGGCUGGGUAUUGUAUGAAAUUUCUACAAUACUAGUGCAGAUAUGAUACCUGAGUUUCAGUACACAAGCACUUUAGCACUUAAAUUCUUACAGUUUCUUUUUUAAGCCGCCGUGCUGUCAAUGUCAAAUGUAUAGUCAAAUGUCUAUUUUAUAUUUUAACAUGUUUUCAUGUGAAGCAAUUGUCUAGCAUCAUCUCAAACGCUUCUCAUGUUUUUGUGAUGUUUUUUAUGUGAAGCAACGGACUGUAGCACUGUUCCCAAGACAAAUUUAGUCUUGGGGACAAUAAAGUUUAUCCUACUCUACCGAUUGUAAAAUGUUUUGGGUUUUUUUAUACCUUACUUUGAAUAAUAAAAACAUGAUUUUCUUUAAAA